rnacentral:rRNA from 1 species
UACAGAGGUCUCAAGCGUUGUUCGGAUUCAUUGGGCGUAAAGGGUGCGUAGGCGGCGCGGUAAGUCGGGUGUGAAAUCUUGGAGCUUAACUCCGAAACUGCAUUCGAUACUGCCGUGCUUGAGGACUGGAGAGGAGACUGGAAUUUACGGUGUAGCGGUGAAAUGCGUAGAUAUCGUAAGGAAGACCAGUGGCGAAGGCGGGUCUCUGGACAGUCCCUGACGCUGAGGCACGAAGGUCAGGGGAGCAAACGGG